rnacentral:rRNA from 1 species
CAGUAGCCGCGGUAAUACGUAGGGUGCGAGCGUUAAUCGGAAUUACUGGGCGUAAAGCGUGCGCAGGCGGUUCGUUAAGACAGAUGUGAAAUCCCCGGGCUUAACCUGGGAACUGCAUUUGUGACUGGCGAGCUAGAGUAUGGCAGAGGGGGGUAGAAUUCCACGUGUAGCAGUGAAAUGCGUAGAGAUGUGGAGGAAUACCGAUGGCGAAGGCAGCCACCUGGGCCAAUACUGACGCUCAUGCACGAAAGCGUGGGGAGCAAACAGGAUUAGAUACCCGGGUAGUCCCUGUCUCUUAUAC